GCGGCUAUAACUCAGCGGUUAGAGUGUAAGCUUGUCAAGCUUAAAGUCAUGGGUUCAAAUCCCACUAGUCGCG
rnacentral:tRNA from 1 species